AGAAGCACCGGCUAACUCCGUGCCAGCAGCCGCGGUAAUACGGAGGGUGCAAGCGUUAAUCGGAAUUACUGGGCGUAAAGCGUGCGUAGGCGGUUUAUUAAGUCAGAUGUGAAAGCCCCGGGCUUAACCUGGGAACUGCAUUUGAAACUGGUCAACUAGAGUAUGGUAGAGGAAAGUGGAAUUUCUGGUGUAGCGGUGAAAUGCGUAGAUAUCAGAAGGAACAUCAAUGGCGAAGGCAGCUUUCUGGACCAAUACUGACGCUGAGGUACGAAAGCGUGGGUAGCAAACAGGAUUAGAUACCCUGGUAGUCCACGCCGUAAACGAUGAUAACUAGCCGUUGGGGGGAUUUACCCCUUAGUGGCGAAGCUAACGCGUUAAGUUAUCCGCCUGGGGAGUACGGCCGCAAGGCUAAAACUCAAAGGAAUUGACGGGGACCCGCACAAGCGGUGGAGCAUGUGGUUUAAUUCGAUGCAACGCGAAGAACCUUACCUGGUCUUGACAUCCUGCGAACUUUCUAGAAAUAGAUUGGUGCCUUCGGGAACGCAGUGACAGGUGCUGCAUGGCUGUCGUCAGCUCGUGUCGUAAGAUGUUGGGUUAAGUCCCGUAACGAGCGCAACCCCUAUCCUUAUUUGCCAGCACAUUAUGGUGGGAACUAUAAGGAGACUGCCGGUGAUAAACCGGAGGAAGGCGGGGACGACGUCAAGUCAUCAUGGCCCUUACGACCAGGGCUACACACGUGCUACAAUGGGAAGUACAAAGAGUCGCGAAGCCGCGAGGUGUAGCUAAUCUCACAAAUCUUCUCGUAGUCCGGAUUGGAGUCUGCAACUCGACUCCAUGAAGUCGGAAUCGCUAGUAAUCGUAGAUCAGAAUGCUACGGUGAAUACGUUCCCGGGUCUUGUACACACCGCCCGUCAUACCAUGGGAGUGGGUUGCACCAGAAGUGGCUAGUCUAACU
rnacentral:rRNA from 1 species